CCUACGGGGGGCGGCAGUGAGGAAUAUUGGUCAAUGGGCGCGAGCCUGAACCAGCCAAGUAGCGUGAAGGAUGACUGCCCUACGGGUUGUAAACUUCUUUUAUAAAGGAAUAAAGUGGGGCACGUGUGCCUUUUUGUAUGUACUUUAUGAAUAAGGAUCGGCUAACUCCGUGCCAGCAGCCGCGGUAAUACGGAGGAUCCGAGCGUUAUCCGGAUUUAUUGGGUUUAAAGGGAGCGUAGAUGGGUUGUUAAGUCAGUUGUGAAAGUUUGCGGCUCAACCGUAAAAUUGCAGUUGAUACUGGCAGCCUUGAGUACAGUGGAGGUAGGCGGAAUUCGUGGUGUAGCGGUGAAAUGCUUAGAUAUCACGAAGAACUCCGAUUGCGAAGGCAGCUUACUAAACUGCCACUGACACUGAUGCUCGAAAGUGUGGGUAUCAAACAGGAUUAGAUACCCUAGUAGUC
rnacentral:rRNA from 1 species